GGGACACGCUGGUGCAUCUGUUUGCCGGGGGAUGUGGUGGUACAGUGGGAGCUAUUCUGACAUGUCCACUGGAAGUUGUCAAAACACGACUGCAGUCAUCUUCUGUGACACUAUAUAUUUCUGAAGUUCAGCUGAACACCAUGGCUGGAGCCAGUGUCAACCGAGUAGUGUCCCCUGGACCUCUUCAUUGUCUAAAGGUUAUCCUGGAAAAAGAGGGCCCUCGCUCAUUAUUUAGAGGAUUAGGCCCCAAUUUGGUGGGAGUGGCUCCCUCCAGGUAAAAAAAGCUAAAGCAAUAUACUUUGCUGCCUAUUCAAACUGCAAGGAAAAGUUGAACGGUGUUUUUGAUCCUGACUCUACCCAAGUACACAUGAUUUCAGCUGCAAUGGCAGGUUUUACUGCGAUCACUGCAACAAACCCCAUUUGGCUUAUAAAGACUCGGCUGCAGCUUGAUGCAAGGAAUCGUGGGGAGAAACGAAUGGGUGCUUUUGAAUGUGUUCGUAAAGUAUAUCAGACAGACGGACUGAGAGGAUUUUAUAGGGGCAUGUCUGCCUCAUAUGCUGGCAUAUCAGAGACAGUUAUCCAUUUUGUUAUUUAUGAAAGUAUAAAGCAAAAGCUACUGGAGUGUAAGACUGCUUCUAUGAUGGAGACUGACGAGGAGUCUGUGAAGGAAGCAUCGGAUUUUGUGAGAAUGAUGCUAGCUGCUGCCACAUCAAAAACCUGUGCCACAACCGUCGCAUAUCCACACGAAGUUGUAAGAACAAGACUACGUGAAGAAGGGACAAAAUACAGAUCUUUUUUUCAGACACUGUCUUUGAUUGUUCAAGAAGAAGGCUAUGGGUCUCUUUACCGUGGCCUAACAACUCAUCUGGUGAGACAGAUUCCAAACACAGCCAUUAUGAUGGCCACCUACGAACUGGUGGUCUACCUACUCAACGGAUAGCAGCAGGGGCUGCCGUGCUGCAGAGCAGGAAGACCAAACGAUCACAGUGGACCAUGGAAUAUUGAAGCCAGCAUGGUGGUCAGAAGACAGUAGUGGGGAAACAUGUAACUACUGUGGCUGAGUGGAAGUUUGGUUUUAGGAAGUAAGGUACUACCACACCACAUUGAUCUUUCAGUGAGGACACCCUGGGCUGCCUCUUAGAGAAUGCUUUGAAAAGCAUUCCUAUCUCAAAAUUGCCAUUUUCUCUACUAUUCACCAGCUCCAGAUUUGUUUUACUGGUUUAUGACAGUCAGAAUAUAGUGUUAAUUCCAUGAGCAUUUUUGGUUGUUUAGACAAAAUCAUUCCUCAGUAUAUACUGUACUGUAAUUUUCCAAAAAUGACAGUGACAAUUACAGAUGACUAACCGGACUUCUCCUGCAGUACUGUAAAAGAACAAGUAGAUCUCGAUAUCCCAGUUCCCUAGAAGGGCCUGCCUGUUACAGUGUUUUAAGUUAUUUGACACCAGUAAUCACUGUGUUUUGACAACCAGUGAAAUAGUGUCUAAAUACUUCACAUUUUCAACAUUAAAAUGUUUUGGUCACAGCUAAAAGGUAUUCAUCAUAAUGUGGACUUUAACACAUCAGAUGCACGGAGUUAAUGGUUUUGGACUAUAAAAUAAGCUAUUGGAUACUGACUGACUCAGUGACGUAGAGCACAUCCUCAUACCUUCUCCAAUUAUGUGAUGCAGGAAUGGGUGCAAUUUUGAUUCAUAAUGUGAUUAUCACAGUCUCAUACCUACAUACUAUUUACUCUAAAUAUAGAAAACUAAUGACUUGAAUUUUUUCUGCUUACUUUCACAUUAAGAAUUUCGUCCUUUGAAUUGUUUCCACAUCUGUAUAGGUUAUUCUUGGUUGGUAGAGGAAAUGGUAAUUUUCAAUUUUGCCCUUUACAGGCUCCUUGAAGUGAUACUAAUAUUUAGGAACAUAUAAAUCUUACAAAAAGACACCCUCAGCCAUCAGAUACAACAAAUCUUAGUUGGCAGAGAGCCUAUAGGUGAGUGUGCUGCACUGGGCAAGCGCUCUGCCCGAGCUCCCUAACUGCUCUCUCAGAGCCAGGUUAGUUUUAGUUCCUUGUAAACAAGAUAGUUUUUAAAUGUUACUAUUGAGUCAGCACCAUCUUUGAAUACUUUAAUAUACAUGUGGCCAUUAUAAAGGUGUUUGCUGCAAUACUGUAGAUUUUCCUAUGGAUGUUGCUAUACUGGUAUAUAGAACUUCUACAAUUAAACUCUACUGUGGUACUCAUCAGUGUACCUUACUUAACUUUACAUUUUGUGCAAUGGCUUUCUCUUCAGAAUGACUUUGGAAAUGCACUUUGUGGCCUUUUGAAAGGGUAAGAAUAGAAUUCAUAUUACUUUAACAUUGCUAUGUAUUAGGCAGAAGAAGUGUUCAUAUUUUUCUGGACUUUAGGUAUGUUUUGGAGAUCUUACAGUAUUGUACAUGUGCUGUGUGACACCACAGUAUUAUGGAAAAGCCGCAUGCCACUGAGCGCUUUCUCUGCUGUCACCAAUGAAGUUUAAUUCCCUCUUAAAUGUCUCACCUUGACUUCCUUGUAAUCAGUAACUGGAUGUUUUUGAGGUGCUCAAUUGGAAUUAAGAAUAUUCCAAUCUAUUUGGAGACCAAAGGCAGGUAUGGAUCGUUACCUUUGGAAUUAUUGCAGCUUUGACAUCUGUUACAUGGAACAUACCAAAAGAUUAAUCCCUACCUGGGGGUUUAGCUUAAAUCUGUAGAGAAGGUCUCAGGCUAUAGUGUUUCCUCUUCAGGUGCCAUUGAUACUGCCUAAUGCAGCGCCAUUUGCUCUGUGAAGAUCCAUAACACUCUAUUGUGUUGAAUGUAGGACAUGUUCUCUGGGUCACACAGAUCUCAGAUGAUGAAGAGUGAAGUGAAAACCAGCAGCCAAGGGACAGCUUAUGUCGUCGUCACAGUAAAUCCAUGAUAAGUGUCCUUCAGGGAUGAGCAUGUCUUAGGCUGGUUUUGGCAAGUAAAACCUACAUUAAUGUCUAGUGCAUUGCACUCAGCUUUUGCAGUUAGCCUGUGACCUGCAGGAAGGGGGUUUUAGAGGCUCAAGUGUUUACUUGAAAAGCAACCGCUGGCAGGGAGCAGUGAGGCCGGCCUUGUGUUUUCCCUGAGCAUUGGUCUACCAUGGCUUACUGUAUGACAGACAAUCCAGAACAGAAAGUCAUUUAUGUGUCACACAAUUUGUCUAUGAAGUAUUUCUUUGAAGAUUUUAAUUGUAAUUUUUUUUAAAAAAAUACAUACUCAGAGCAUUGUUUUUUUUAAAAAAAACUUGUUUUAAUCAUAUAAUCUUUUUUUAAAUGUAAAGAGCUCGGGUGGACCUUGCUGUAUACUUUUGUUGCAGUCUUUCUUCUCAGAAAAUUGAACUUCCUCAGCCGGGCUGGAGUAGUAGCUUCUAGAAGCAGCCCUCACAGCAGCAGACUGCUGUGCUCAAGUGCUUGAACUCGGACACCACUCCAGCUGGGGAAUCAAUCGCAAGCUUUAGUAGGUACCAUACAGUGCUUUUAAGUUACCAGGGAGCGGCCUCCCCGAGACCUCUGUCCUGGCAUUGGUUUGCCUUUUUCUUCAAAUUUUGUUUUGUUUUUGUGGUGAUAGGGGCUCUUGUUACCUAAGAAGACCUUGUCUCCUGGUUCUCUGCCUUUGCCUCCUAAGUGCUGGUGUUACAGGCCUGCCUCUCCAUGCUCACAAACUCUGUUCCGGUUCUCACUGUACAACUAUGUAGAACCAACUUGAUUGAUUAAAGCGGUUCAAGCAGGCUUGUAAUUCUGAUACCAUGACAGCACUGUUAGGUCACACAACACAGCCUGACCUUUUUGUCACAUAAACCUGGAUGUCUCCUUGCAGUAGCCUUGUUAGGAUAAGCACAUCUGUGGUGUUCAGAAGAAUAACUGUUCAUUUACUAAAGUCUAAAAAUUUUUGGCUUUUAAAAAUCACCGUGAAAUAAUGAUUUCAUUUGAAGAAUGUAAGUGGUAGAAAUUGGUCUCCCCCUAUCUCUGAGGACUUUCUUCCUACUUCGCAGUUCACAGGCUCUCCUGUCCAAACUGCCCUUACAGUAGGGACUCCUGAGGGCUGAUACACAGCCCGUGAUCCUCCUUUACCAUGACUUUCAACAUUCCUAAGAUCCAUACGUCCGCGUAAAUAGGACAGAAUCUUACCAUAUGAAAUAAAGAGUGCUUUCUGCCCCUCACAUAUCUUCUCCCCUAUAACCUUGUUUCUCCAUAAUUAUACCUGGAUUCUUAUGCUAUCUGUUUAGAAACUAAAGGACUAGUUGUGAUGAGUCAUGCAAAGCUUUCUGAAUGUACCCCAGUGGAUGUGAAGUACAUUACACCAAUGAGUCAGUCUAGGCAGCCUGAGAGCUAACGAGCUUUGCCGGGCCAUGCGAGUGUUGCUCUUGUUGCACUUUUGUACAUGGCUGCAAAUUAUGUGCAUUUAUGUUCUGUUUAUGUUAACUAGCUGACUUGUACUUGAAUUAAAAUUUUAAAAAAUUAAAAUAUGCUUUUGAAAAUG
rnacentral:lncRNA from 1 species